ACCACUGAAAAUUCAAUAAACAAUAAACUUGUCUGGUGAUUUGGGAUUUUCUCUUAUUGAUUUUUCAGAGAUUUUGAAGAUGGAGAAAAAGAUGAUAUAUCGAUUUAUCUUUUUUCCUAUAUUCGUAGACUGAUUUCCGGGGGAGAAAGCAGGAUAGGUUCAAUAACAUGAGGAGAGGGAAACAAGAAGCAGACAGCUGUCCCCAGUCGAGUUCGCCAGGGUUUAUGAAAUUCCUAAACAGAUUAUCCCAGAAUGAAGGAAACAGGAAAGGGACCACCUUCUGCGGAAGAAGAGGACCUGAAGUCGUUAGUGCUCCGUGACAAGGAUGAUAAAUUGACUUCCGAGUUCGGUGAUGAUGAUGAAGUUGUUUCUUUUAUCAAAGCGUUGUUUGAUGCUGGGAUUUGUAUGUUUUAACUUGAAUAUCGAGAGGAAGGAGAGAGCAUGGAAUUGUUCAGUUCGUGUGAGUGCAUUGAAAACCACUGUUAGAAACUUCAUGGACAUUUUUAUGAGAACGCCGGAAGUGGUAGUUACAGAUCCAAUUGUUAGAAAGAAGGUUCAGAAGGAAACAUAAGGAGACCGAGUCAGUAAGCAGUUAAUGGAGUUGGAACGACAAUAGGUAAUGUAUUGCAUUCUUUAUUUGUAUUGCUCUAUUGUCCAUUACUGGUCUUCUUUAAAUUCUUGUAAUUCUCUUGCCAUGGAUAUAACUGCCUUCGUUUCCAAAACCCUGACUUUCUACUACAUAAAGCAUUUUGCUAUAUAUUUGUAUGCUUUACUCUUAUUCUUAUGUUUUGAUUACUCAAAUAGUUAGUAAUAAAAUAACUUAAUUUUUACGCAAGAUUAUGUUCAUCUCUUCAUCAU